rnacentral:rRNA from 1 species
AUUGAACGCUGGCGGCAGGCCUAACACAUGCAAGUCGAGCGGAUGAGAGGAGCUUGCUCCUUGAUUCAGCGGCGGACGGGUGAGUAAUGCCUAGGAAUCUGCCUGGUAGUGGGGGACAACGUUUCGAAAGGAACGCUAAUACCGCAUACGUCCUACGGGAGAAAGCAGGGGACCUUCGGGCCUUGCGCUAUCAGAUGAGCCUAGGUCGGAUUAGCUAGUAGGUGGGGUAAUGGCCCACCUAGGCGACGAUCCGUAACUGGUCUGAGAGGACGAUCAGUCACACUGGAACUGAGACACGGUCCAGACUCCUACGGGAGGCAGCAGUGGGGAAUAUUGGACAAUGGGCGAAAGCCUGAUCCAGCCAUGCCGCGUGUGUGAAGAAGGUCUUCGGAUUGUAAAGCACUUUAAGUUGGGAGGAAGGGCAGUUAGUUAAUACCUGACUGUUUUGACGUUACCAACAGAAUAAGCACCGGCUAACUUCGUGCCAGCCGCCGCCGUAAAAC